AUCCAUGACUCCAUGGGGGCUGCCGCACGUGGCUGUCUCCCUUCCUAGGCAUGGAAGAGCAGUUCCUUGCUAAUUGGCAAAACUUUUACCCUCUUGUGGGCAUUAGUCGUUGACUGUAGCAAGUAACAGGC
rnacentral:snoRNA from 1 species